rnacentral:rRNA from 1 species
GAACGCUGGCGGCGUGCUUAACACAUGCAAGUCAAACGAUGAAGUUCCUUCGGGAAUGGAAUAGUGGCGAACGGGUGAGGAACACGUGAAGAAUCUGCCCUCCACUUUGGGAUAACUCCGGGAAACCGGGGCUAAUACCGAAUAUUGAAACAUAAGUGGCAUCACUGAGUUUUGAAAGAAUUUCGGUGGAGGAUGACUUCGCGGCCUAUCAGCUUGUUGGUGAGGUAAUGGCUCACCAAGGCGACGACGGGUAGCCGGCCUGAGAGGGCGACCGGCCACACUGGGACUGAGACACGGCCCAGACUCCUACGGGAGGCAGCAGUGGGGAAUAUUGGGCAAUGGACGCAAGUCUGACCCAGCGACGCCGCGUGCGGGAUGAAGGC